rnacentral:lncRNA from 10 species
CUGGUUUUAUUGAUCGAUAACUGCACAUUUUUGGUUGGAGGUGCCAGCUCUUGACGAAUUUGCAGCCCUCUCACUCUCGAUAUUGGAGCUUCUUCCUCCUGUGCUGUCUUCUCUGCCUGGGGAAAUUUGUGUCCCUCAGCUAGGCCACCCAGGGGAAUCACAUGAUGAUCCUGAACAUUCCAUCCCAUCAGGCUGUGCACAGGACUGGCUGCAUCUGAGAUCAAACGAUGUUCAAAGAAAGUUCAGACUCCAGCACUCCAGUUAGGGCAAGCCUCUUAAAAGGUGAGCGUCUUGAUACUUGCUACUGCAGCUGGGAGGCA